rnacentral:rRNA from 1 species
GAUGAACGCUAGCGGCAGGCUUAACACAUGCAAGUCGAGGGGUAUUGGUUUUCGGACCAAGAGACCGGCGCACGGGUGCGUAACGCGUAUGCAAUCUACCUUUUGCAGAGGGAUAGCCCAGAGAAAUUUGGAUUAAUACCUCAUAGUAUAGUACUUUGGCAUCAAGGAACUAUUAAAGUCACAACGGCAAAGAUGAGCAUGCGUCCCAUUAGCUAGUUGGUAAGGUAACGGCUUACCAAGGCUACGAUGGGUAGGGUCCUGAGAGGGAGAUCCCCCACACUGGUACUGAGACACGGACCAGACUCCUACGGGAGGCAGCAGUGAGGAAUAUUGGACAAUGGGCGCAAGCCUGAUCCAGCCAUGCCGCGUGCAGGAUGACGGUCCUAUGGAUUGUAAACUGCUUUUAUACAGGAAGAAACACUCCGACGUGUGGGAGCUUGACGGUACUGUAGGAUAAGGAUCGGCUAACUCCGUGCC